UUUCCGUAGGUAAGUACAUCACUCGGACCCCCCUACCCCCUCGACCGACAGCUGCUAACGAAUUUUUAGGUGAACCUGCGGAAGGAUCAUUAUCGAGUUAGGGUCUCUGGCCCGACCUCCAACCCUGUGUCUACUAUACCAUGUUGCUUUGGCGGGCCCGCGUUCGUCGCCGCCGAGGGGUUGACCCCCCUGGGCCAGUGCCCGCCGAUAGCCCCCUCUUAAACUCUUGAUCAACCGUGAAUGUCUGAGUAAAAAAAAAUCAAGCACAAAACUUUCAACAACGGAUCUCUUGGCUCUC
rnacentral:misc_RNA from 1 species